UCUCUCUCUAGGUCACAGCCUCACAGCGAACUCAUCUCUAUAUUCAUCUUUCUCUUGUUUUAUUUUUGUUCCUCUGUAACUUUAAACAUUUGCUCUCGAUCGACCUCCAUCACCUUCUCCUUCUUCAAAGAAUCGAUUUCUUCUUCUCGGUCCAGAUCCGGAAGGUGAAACAAAAGUCAAUACCCUCAAGCUAAUAAUCGAUUUCAUCGAUAGUCUGUGUUGUCGAUGAUGAAAUACUUUUUGCGAUUCAUUGGGGGUUGCGGUUUACUUCACCCGGUUCCUAUAAUGAUUCCUGAUGAUGAUGGAUGGUGUGGUGGUGGCGAUGAAGCAGAAGUUGUUCAAUUACACUUCUUAUCAGUUCUGUUUUUUUUUCUUCUUCAAUUUAGGGUAUAGGGGAUUUUAUGAUAUCAUGAGUUUGUGUUGUUUCAGUUUGGGUGGCAGUUGAGUUUAUGUUGAAAUAAUUGAUUCCAAUGGUACUCUGUGAUUUCAAUUAUAAAAUCCUCUCGCGAUUAGUUGGGUAAUUAUCUAUGACUCACUUUUCUUCAUCGUCUUCAAUUGCAGAAAUUUAAUUUCUGACAUUAAGGUUAGGGUGUUUUCCAAAGCUCUUGAUUUUACUGGUAAUAGUUUCAAUUAAGUGUUCUUUUUAUUGAUUAGGGAUGCGAUUUACUUAAAAUGGUUCCUAAUGUGAUUCCUUGUGAUGGUGAUGAAGUAGAUGAUGACUCAGUUUUCUAAUAAAGAUUGCUCAUUACAUUGCUUGUCUGUUUUGUGCGGUGAGUUAAUUUGCUUUUUGAUUCUUCAAUUUGGGUUUUAGGGGACAUCAUGAGUUGAUGAUGUUUCAGUUUCGCUUUUGGUUGAUUCCAGCUGGGUCAUUCUUAGGUUCCAUGACAUGAGCUUUAACAUGGAAAGAAACUGAAAGUGGUAACUGAUUAUCAAGAACUCUGGGUUUGGUUGCAUGCAGAACUUUGUUAUUUGUGAUGCUUAGAUCUAUUUUUUGUUUUUAUUUUGAUUUUGAAGGACUAUUUAUGAAGUACCUUAUGGUGGAACUGAGUAUUUUGACGAAGAUGUCUUUGCUUUUCCUGAAAUGGUCAAAUACAGAUACAACUGUAUGUAGGAUAAGCAUUUUCAUGUACUUUAACUUACUGGAAGUUGCUUGUCAGAUACUACAUACCAUUUUGCGUGCUGCUACAGGAUAGAGAGAGAGAGAGAGAUGCAACACGUAUUGGCAAAGAUAUUUUGGUGCAGAUACAAAGUAGUAGACACAAUUACGAAGGUAGUGACUGACCAAGAUAUAGUGGUCACUGAGAUGGGUAUCAUGGUGGUCCAAGAGGGGGAGCGCCAGGGGUGUUUGGAGGAGAUAGGAGUGGUGCUCCAACAGAGUAGCCAUAAUUUAAGGUACGGUGGGGGCAUGAGUUCAGCUAAAGCCGCUCUAGAGAGUGACACCAGGAUUUAUUAGCAAUUAUCUCCAAUUGUAGGAGAUUCAAAUGUUCCACUCGAACAGAUUGCAUUUACUGCAAUCUGUAUGGGAUUGGUCUUCGUGGGUUCGUGCCACGUGGAUGUUGCAUUGUCCAUCAUACUUUCCUUGAUGGAUCGUAAUGAAGCUGAGCUUGGGGAGCCUCUCACAUGGAUGUUACCACUCUGACAUGGUCUUCUGUAUCUUGGGAAGCAGGAUGCCCAAUCAUUGGAAAAUUUAGAGAGCUAAGAACUAAUGUGUUGGAAGGUAAGGUGGUCAUCUUUUCGUAUUACCGUACUCAAUUACAUGGGAAUAAUAAUACUAAUUGUACACAUUAGAACUACAGGCAAGCGAAACUACGUGAGAUGGUUUCAAGAAUUACACUAGAUGGUUUGUUGAUAAUGAAGAAUAUCUAGAUGUUAUUGACUUAUCUUACAAGUGUUUCUCCGUAUACAAGUGACCUGGCUAAUUUUUUGUACAUAAGCUUGAGAUCUCCAAUUUGUUGUUUAAUCAAAUGUCUAUUAGUUUAUCAUAUUGUUGUUCAAUCUUAGAUAUUACUAGUUAGCUAGAACUUAAAUGUUGUGUUGAACUUAGGAUUCAAUCCUUUUGUUGUGUAAUCUUAAACCUAAUGGACACAAUGAAUGAAUGUUGAAUUUUGAGUUUGAGUUAAA